AGUGAACGCUGGCGGUAGGCCUAACACAUGCAAGUCGAACGGCAGCACAGUAAGAGCUUGCUCUUACGGGUGGCGAGUGGCGGACGGGUGAGGAAUACAUCGGAAUCUACUUUUUCGUGGGGGAUAACGUAGGGAAACUUACGCUAAUACCGCAUACGACCUACGGGUGAAAGCAGGGGAUCUUCGGACCUUUCGCGAUUGUAUGAGCCGAUGUCGGAUUAGCUAGUUGGCGGGGUAAAGGCCCACCAAGGCGACGAUCCGUAGCUGGUCUGAGAGGCUGAUCAGCCACACUGGAACUGAGACACGGUCCAGACUCCUACGGGAGGCAGCAGUGGGGAAUAUUGGACAAUGGGCGCAAGCCUGAUCCAGCCAUACCGCGUGGGUGAAGAAGGCCUUCGGGUUGUAAAGCCCUGUUGUUGGGAAAGAAAAGCAGCAGGUUAAUACCCCGCUGUUCUGACGGUACCCAAAGAAUAAGCACCGGCUAACUUCGUG
rnacentral:rRNA from 1 species